UACGUAGGUGGCAAGCGUUGUCCGGAUUUACUGGGCGUAAAGAGCGCGCAGGCGGUCGGAUAAGUCGAAUGUGAAAGCCCCUGGCUCAACCAGGGAGGGUCAUUCGAUACUGUUCGACUCGAAGGCAGGAGAGGGAAGUGGAAUUCCGGGUGUAGUGGUGAAAUGCGUAGAUAUCCGGAGGAACACCAGUGGCGAAGGCGACUUUCUGGCCUGUUCUUGACGCUGAGGCGCGAAAGCUAGGGGAGCAAACAGG
rnacentral:rRNA from 1 species